GACGAACGCUGGCGGCGUGCUUAACGCAUGCAAGUCGAACGGUGAAGCUCCAGCUUGCUGGAGUGGAUCAGUGGCGAACGGGUGAGUAACACGUGAGCAGCCUGCCCCUGACUCUGGAAUAAGCGCUGGAAACGGCGUCUAAUACUGGAUACGAGAAGGGUCCGCAUGGGCACUUUCUGGAAAGUUUUUCGGUUGGGGAUGGGCUCGCGGCCUAUCAGCUUGUUGGUGAGGUAAUGGCUCACCAAGGCGACGACGGGUAGCCGGCCUGAGAGGGCGACCGGCCACACUGGGACUGAGACACGGCCCAGACUCCUACGGGAGGCAGCAGUGGGGAAUAUUGCACAAUGGGCGAAAGCCUGAUGCAGCGACGCCGCGUGAGGGAUGACGGCCUUCGGGUUGUAAACCUCUUUCAGCAGGGAAGAAGCGAAAGUGACGGUACCUGCAGAAGAAGCACCGGCUAACUACGUG
rnacentral:rRNA from 1 species